rnacentral:rRNA from 1 species
CCUACGGGAGGCAGCAGUGGGGAAUAUUGGGCAAUGGGCGCAAGCCUGACCCAGCAACGCCGCGUGAAGGAAGAAGGCUUUCGGGUUGUAAACUUCUUUUCUCAGGGACGAAGAAAGUGACGGUACCUGAGGAAUAAGCCACGACUAACUACGUGCCAGCAGCCGCGGUAAUACGUAGGUGACAAGCGUUAUCCGGAUUUAUUGGGUGUAAAGGGCGUGUAGGCGGGAGCGCAAGUCAGAUGUGAAAACUCAGGGCUCAACCCUGAGCCUGCAUUUGAGACUGUGUUUCUUGAGUGCUUGAGAGGCAAUCGGAAUUCCGGGUGUAGCGGUGAAAUGCGUAGAUAUACGGAGGAAAACCAGUGGCGAAGGCGGAUUGCUGGACAGUAACUGACGCUGAGGCGCGAAAGCGUGGGGAGCAAACAGUAUUAGAUACCCGGGUAGUC